rnacentral:rRNA from 1 species
GACGAACGCUGGCGGCGUGCUUAACACAUGCAAGUCGAACGGAAAGGCCCUGCUUUUGUGGGGUGCUCGAGUGGCGAACGGGUGAGUAACACGUGAGUAACCUGCCCUUGACUUUGGGAUAACUUCAGGAAACUGGGGCUAAUACCGGAUAGGAGCUCCUGCUGCAUGGUGGGGGUUGGAAAGUUUCGGCGGUUGGGAUGGACUCGCGGCUUAUCAGCUUGUUGGUGGGGUAGUGGCAUACCAAGGCUUUUACGGGUAGCCGGCCUGAGAGGGUGACCGGCCACAUUGGGACUGAGAUACGGCCCAGACUCCUACGGGAGGCAGCAGUGGGGAAUAUUGCACAAUGGGCGGAAGCCUGAUGCAGCAACGCCGCGUGCGGGAUGACGGCCUUCGGGUUGUAAACCGCUUUCGCCUGUGACGAAGCGUGAGUGACGGUAAUGGGUAAAGAAGCACCGGCUAACUACGUG